GCCUCUAUAGCUCAGCUGGUAGAGCGUCUGAUUUGUAAUCAGAGGGUCGGGAGUUCGAGUCUCUCUGGGGGCACCA
rnacentral:tRNA from 3 species